rnacentral:lncRNA from 1 species
CGUAAACAGACUAUAACUAGUAAUAAGUUAAGGUAGCGCAUAUAUGCAACACCCUUUUGACAGGGAAAGUCAGCAAGCGGAGUUUGAUUCGCUAUGGGAAGGAAUAAUUGCAAAUGAAGAAAUACGGGAUCCAGGUCGAGCGGUAAGACAGCACGGCGCCCAAUCAGCAUGACGUGUUCUGGGGCAGGGUCGACAUGGCCACUACACUCUGCCUUCAGCUUCCCUGUGAUGAGGGAAAUGUGAGCUUCCAGUUGAAAUAUCUGCAACUUUUUGCUGAAAACAUCUUGGUCCCCUCUUACUUGGAGGACGACAAGGGCAGUAAUGGCCAGGAAUACCGCACACAAAUCACUCAACAUGGGCAGUAUGGUGCCUUCAAUGAGAUGUACAACUAAAUUAAAAGUAAAUAUCUGGAAGUCGUAGCUGAGGGUGAGAGGAGUAUCAGCCUGUCUGCUAAUGUCAUAUCAAACCAAUAACCAAUUUAAUACAAAUCCUUGGCCGGCUCACACAGGGUCACUGAUAAACCGCUUUCGUCCUAUAAUGCUUCUCCAGACGACUAUUUUAAUUUUCAGACAUUUGGAAAGCUUUACUGCAGUAGAGUUAUUCAGACAGAUUGUUGGAGGUAGAAAGCGUGGCUGGGGAGUUAUAAGUCUUAAAUGCAUCAGACGCUUACUGCCGUGUUAAGAACCAAAACAGUUGAUACCAAACACGCCUGAAGAGACCUAAUGUUGAACUUCGUACGAACUCUUUGCAGUAUGCCCCUCCCCCCCUGUACCGGUCAAUCUGCUAUGUGAACUUUACCGUCUGCGUCGCGUUUGUUGAUGAAAAUUCGUGAGUGAGAUAAGAUUAUUAGAUGACCAUACAUACUGUACAUCCAAGUACAGGGGCGGACCCAGAUGUAUUUUCUGAUAGUCUUUCACAUUAUCUUUGUUGAUCCAACCUCCAUUUUAGACCGUCUUCUUACAGCAAACGUUACAUGUCCUUUUAUGUAAACUAAGAGUUUGACAACUUGUAUACCGUGGUCAUUGUAAACUAAGAGUUUGACAACUUGUAUACCGUGGUCAUUGUAAACUAAGAGUUUGACAACUUGUAUACCGUGGUCAUUGUAAACUAAGAGUUUGACAACUUGUAUACCGUGGUCAUUGUAAACUAAGGGUUUGACCAUUUCUAUACCGUGGUCUAUGAGACAGCUGUACUAGCCGGUACUUUCAUGUCAAAAUACUUGAUAUAUCUCAAGAAAUAAUAAGAGAAGUUUUAAGCGUCAACUACAAAUCUUAUGUCAAAACAAAAUAUUAAUUGUUUAUGAGUUUUUUUACAGAUGAUAGACAAUUAAGUUGAUUUCCGUCACCAAAGGGAAGAGCUAUGCUAAUAAUUGCAGAGAUAUCCCCAUACAGAGAUAUCCCCAUGGUAUAUCAGAGCGUAAACAGACAAAUGUCACACGUACAAUCACAUAGGGAAGGUUUUUACUGAGACAUGUUUGAGCUUUCCAAUAAUGUAAAAAAAUAAUUUCUUUGCCAUCAAUCCUGUGUCUCGGGAGGGGAUGAAGACAAUUCAACAAAGAACGAGUUGUGAAAAGUAAAAUUGGAUAUAUUGAAAACGUACUCUUUGACACCACACUUCAACAUUUUGAAAGUUUUCCCUAAGUUAAAAUGAAAGCUGGCAGCCAUAAAGUACACAGAUCAGUCGAGGAUGUAGUUCUGUUGAUAAUUACAGACCAGCAGAGAUUAUAGAAUCUCUCUUCCACAGUACUGAGCAACCGGCCAUGUUGUGAACUGAAUUAAGUAGUAAGAACGACCACCUAUUUAUAUAUCAAACACCACACGACAAUGGAACGCUUUAAAAAACAUUUUAACAACGUUGUCGCAUUUUUGUGGUUUUAUAUUUUCCCGUAAGCACUACAUGAUUGUGAGUCACACCGACGGUUUCUGAAUUUAUCUCUUAUUUCUUAUUAAAAUGAGGUAGCUACGACAAGUAGUGGACCAUUUGUGUGGUGGUCGUUGGCGGGGCAGGUGAACGUGAAGGUGUAGGUGGGGCAGGUGUAACCAGGGCAGGUCUAGGCGGGGCAGCUGUAGGUGGAGGUGUAGGAGGGGCACGUGUAGUCCAUGGGGUGCCAGUACGGUGCCAGGGGGUUGUCCGGAACGUUGUCCGCCACGGGACGGCAGUGCGGCGCCAGGGGUUCUUCCGAAUUGUUGUCUGCUGUAGCCUGCACUCCGCAUACAACUGGAAGAUAAUACGGACAUGUGCAGCAGUUAUAAUGUGCCAUACUUUACUACCUCAUUUGACGGACUUUUACGAACUAGAGGGACAGAAAAUUCGGUAGCUUUACGACCAGAAAUUCUAAAAAGAUCCAGGUCGAGCAGUAAGACAGCACGGCGCCCAAUCAGCAUGGCGUGUUCUGGGGCAGGGUCGACAUGGCCACUACACUCUGCCUUCAGCUUCCCUGUGAUGAGGGAAAUGUGAGCUUCCAGUUUAAAUAUCUGCAACUUUUUGGCGAAAACA